rnacentral:rRNA from 1 species
UUAACACAUGCAAGUCGAGGGGCAGCAUAACACUUCGGUGUUGAUGGCGACCGGCGCACGGGUGCGUAACACGUAUAGAACCUACCCAUAACAGGGGGAUAGCCCAGAGAAAUUUGGAUUAAUACCCCAUAGUGUAUUAAUGAGGCAUCUCAUUUUUAUUAAAGAUUUAUCGGUUAUGGAUGGCUAUGCGUCCUAUUAGUUUGUUGGUGAGGUAAUGGCUCACCAAGGCUACGAUAGGUAGGGGUUCUGAGAGGAAUGUCCCCCACACUGGUACUGAGACACGGACCAGACUCCUACGGGAGGCAGCAGUGAGGAAUAUUGGACGAUGGGCGCAAGCCUGAUCCAGCCAUGCCGCGUGCAGGAAGAAGGCUUUCUAGUUGUAAACUGCUUUUAUUCACGAGGAAUAUGUCCCUUGCGAGGGAUUUUGACGUUAGUGUUUGAAUAAGCACCGGCUAACUCCGUGCCAGCAGCCGCG